CGUUACGCCCCGCGCCGUGCCCGGAGGAGCCCGGCGCUGCCUUUCUACGCGGCCGCCGCGCCGAUUGUCUCCUCCGGGCACGGGGGAUGUCCGCGGCCCCGCUGCG